AGGCGGCGACGGGUAGCCGGCCUGAGAGGGUGACCGGCCACAUUGGGACUGAGAUACGGCCCAGACUCCUACGGGAGGCAGCAGUGGGGAAUAUUGCACAAUGGGCGCAAGCCUGAUGCAGCAACGCCGCGUGCGGGAUGACGGCCUUCGGGUUGUAAACCGCUUUCAGCAGGGACGAAGCUUUUUGUGACGGUACCUGCAGAAGAAGCACCGGCUAACUACGUGCCAGCAGCCGCGGUGAUACGUAGGGUGCGAGCGUUGUCCGGAUUUAUUGGGCGUAAAGGGCUCGUAGGCGGUUGAUCGCGUCGGAAGUGGAAACUUGAUGCUUAACGUUGAGCGUGCUUUCGAUACGGGUUGACUUGAGUACUACAGGGGAGACUGGAAUUUCUGGUGUAGCGGUGGAAUGCACAGAUAUCAGGAAGAACACCGAUGGCGAAGGCAGGUCUCUGGGUAGUAACUGACGCUGAGGAGCGAAAGCAUGGGUAGCGAACAGGAUUAGAUACCCUGGUAGUCCAUGCCGUAAACGGUGGGCGCUAGGUGUGGGGUUCCUUCCACGGGCUCCGCGCCGUAGCUAACGCAUUAAGCGCCCCGCCUGGGGAGUACGGCCGCAAGGCUAAAACUCAAAGAAAUUGACGGGGGCCCGCACAAGCGGCGGAGCAUGUGGAUUAAUUCGAUGCAACGCGAAGAACCUUACCUGGGCUUGACAUAUAGAGGAUCGCUACAGAGAUGUGGUUUCCCUUGUGGCUUCUAUACAGGUGGUGCAUGGUUGUCGUCAGCUCGUGUCGUGAGAUGUUGGGUUAAGUCCCGCAACGAGCGCAACCCUUGUCUAUGUUGCCAGCACG
rnacentral:rRNA from 1 species